GCAAAAAUUAUUCAUCGGAGGUGUGGGUAGCCAAGACAGCCAGAACAACUCCAUUUCAUCUGCAGUUCCUCUAUCUUGCCCCUCUUCCUGCUUGUAUGGCAACAUCUCCAUUCCCCCAUCCCCACCCCGCCCCCAGCCCCAUAUAUGACCUUACUGCUGAAACAGCAAGGGCAGUCUUGUCUGUUAGGGUGGGGUUACAAGAUAGAGCUAACCUGAAGAAGAGCCUUUCCAAUUGCUAGCCCAGUAAUAGGUCCUGUCCAAUCCUAAGGUACCUGAUACCCGAUUCACCUCCUACCUAAAUCAAAGCCUUUGUCCUUUUGUUCCUUUGGGAAGUCUCUGCCUGUGUGGCUGGGGCUCCAUUGCUAGCAAACUCAAUAAACCCUUGUUGGCUGCUAAACUUAUGGUACUGGGUUUGGGUUCUAGUUUGCUGGGGCACCAACAAUUUUACCCACAGUAAAUGGUGGCAGGCAAUGGGAUUCCUAGGCAGACUAGUGGAAUUCCAGGGGUCACAAUUUGGGAAUGCCUUGGGCUGCUCUGCUUGGGAUAGACAUUACGGUUGGUGAUGAGAAUCUGAGUGACAGAUUUAUUGUUUCAGUGCAAAGAAAGAAGGUUCUUUGCCGAUUAGAGAGAAAGGAAAAAAAAAGAAGAGAACUGAAGCUAAUUCAAAACUGAAGUUUCAAAGUGAAGGAAAAAAAUGAGUUUGCAGUUUAAACUUAUCUGGUACUGAAGAACUGCCUCUUAUUAAAUAAGGAAGCAACUUAAAAGUUUCUUGGGUCAUGUCCUUGGAUAAAGUCCUGAAAUCUUAUCAGCCUUGUGAAGUAAGUUGCUAAUGUUGUGAAAUUCUAAAAUAAUGAACUGACUUUCUAAGAAAAUGAGACUCCUUCUUCCAUCACAAAUCCUUUGCCAAAGGAGGGCAAUUUAUAAAUUUGCUUAUGGUAUAUAAGUGAUGUAUAUGAUGAUCUGUGAUUAUGGGAGUCAUGAAAUCAUACUUGGAACAGCAUAUAUUGAAGUUAUAUCUUGAGCCAACUUAAAGAUGUAUUUUUGCCUUACAAAUUUAUAAUAUCUAUACCUAGAUAGACGGGUAUCUGAUAGUCUAGACUCUAGAGACUUAUAAUAAGUAAGCAGAGUUUUCUGGGUUUUGAGUGAGCUAUUUGCUAUCUAUGUGGAAUUCCAGAAUGUGAUUAUUUUCUUAAUUUGUAAUGAUUUAUUUUUAUACCCAGAUGAGUUUAAAAUUAAGAAGAAAAAAAAAAAAGAAAAGGAUGUUGAAUGAAUCUUUUUUUUUAAAAGCCUGGUAAAUUCUUUAUUGUUAACUGUUACUGCAACAACAUGAGAAAUAAUAACUCUCUAGUCCUAGGCUAUGAUCAGUGAAACUUGCUAUUUGAGGUAAAAUCUUUUGGGACUGUAAUUUGAUAUUGUUCCAAGUUCUAAAUUUAGGUAUAAAUAUCUGAAUUAUCAUUAAGUCAGUAAUCUACCAUUCAAGGGAAAUUCCACAAGCUGUUCAAAGGGAGGGUGAUCUGAGAACUACUACAGGUGGAUAUCUGUGUCUGGCAAAGUUGAGGGGACAACCUUGAGUAGGCAAAGGUAGGAUUCUCUUGGAUCAAUUUCCUCAUUGUGUUAUUUCCUUUUUAAACAAGAAUGUUUCCACCUGGUUAAUACUGAGCCUGGCUAUGAUGUGUUGUGAAUAACGUAGAACUUUGCUGUACGACUGAUUGGCUGUUCCAAAAAGUUAACAAAGUCUUACCUAAAAUCAAGUGGAACUAAGGAUGCAUCAUCCCAUUAUUUCUACAUUAAGUCACUCUGUGCCCUUAGGCUUAGGCUUGGAGGAACAGUCUGGAGGCUGUUAGAACCAUCUCCCUGUUUCUUACUUUCAUGGGAAAUCUCUCUAACCGUAGCAAGCAAAAGGAUAAUUUUUUUAUAUCAUGAAUCUUGUUGUUGUAAUACUUUAGCAUCUCUGAAGUGAUACAAUGGGAUACAAGUAUAAGAUAACUUAUUGUGUAGCCUACUUGAUCUUUCUAUAGCUCUGUUGUUUAUAAGGUUAUCUCCAUAAGGUCUGAACCUGUUUUCACCACAUGGAAGGACAAUUUGAUUAGAUUUUCUCAAGUUUUACUAAAUUAUGCUAAGUCUUAUCACUAGCAGGCAUUAGAAGCAUUACCAAGAGAAUUUCUACAACUGACCUGGUGGUCAAGGAACUACCUCCACAAACCAUCCACAGACACCUGAAGAUCAUGGACACUGCCAAAGCACUUGACACCUUUACAACUGCAGCUCUAUUAGUUUUCUUUAUUCACCCUACUGUAAUUUUGCUUGUUUUAUUAGUUCUGUGUACGUUAUCUAUUUUGUAAGCUGCUUAUCUGAACUGAUAUCAACUUGGGAUUUGUUUAAAAAAAAAUUGUAAGACUAUUUAUAGUCUCAAAGGGGGAAGUGGGUAGCUGAGAAGCUGAAGUAACUCUAUUUUGUCUAUAGCUCCUCUAUCUUGUCUCUGACCCUGUAUUGCAACUCCCAUCCUGUCUGUGACCUUCCUUACUACUGAAAUAGCAAAGAUAAUCCUGUUUAUUAGGGUAGGGUUACAAGAGACAGCAAAACUGAAGAGUAGUCUUUCCUGUUACUAGCCUAGCAAAAGUCCUGUCCAAUCCCAAGGCACCCUAUACCCAAUUUGCCUCCUGUCUAAAAUGAAACCUAUAUAAACUUUGCUCUUUUGUUCCUUCAGGAAUCUAUAAUUGUGUGUGAGUGAGGCUCCCUUACUCAAUAAAUCCUCACUGUUCUAGAAUUUAUGGCACUGGGUUUAGGUUGCAGUUUUGGGAUUUUGGUUCUGGUUUGUUGUGAUGAUGACAAUUUUUUAAAAAAUUAUUUUUAAUAUAAA